AUAUUUUUAAAACAUUGCACCCGUUUUGGUAUGAGGGCGAAGGCGAGUGAAAGAAGGUGGCUGAGCCAGGAGGAGAGAGCACAGAUGGCUUGGUGGUGGUAUGGUGUGGUGAGUUGUGGGGAGGAGAGGGGGGUCUGGCAGAGGUUGGGGGUGGGCGGAAUGAGGACCCUGUUUUCUUCUUUUCGGUUUGCUGUGGAUGAAGGAGGGAGAGAGAAAGAGAAAGGGGGUGGGGAGAGAAGCGAGACAGAUGGCAGAGUGGAGAGGCGGCAGGCAGGGCCNGGAAGAGUGGAGAGGCGGCAGCCAGUGCCGGCACUGCCCAGCCUGGGCGGACCCAGCUCCCCCCCCUGCCAGCUUUCCAAAUGCCACCCUUCCCCCAUCCUCCCCUCACCCCAUCCCCCCAGCUUGGCACUGAUCUCCGAGAGAGAGGGAGAGAGGCUGGGCAAAGAGCAUCUGUUCCCUCCAUUCUCCCAGCUCUAUCGGCUGCCAACCUAGGGCCAUCGCCUGCCUCCAUCACCCCUCCGCCCGCCUGCCCGCCCGCCUACCCACCCAAUCCCAAACGGGUGCUGGAUCAGGUGCCGAAUCUGGCUGCCUCCUCGGGUAUACCCGUCACUGUGCAUUGCUGUGUGUCUGCCACCGCUGCCUGGCACUCAUGGGGCCGUGUGUAUGUGUGUGUGUGUGUGCGCAUGUACAUGUACGCAUAAACGCGUGCUGUAUGUGAGCCUCCUGGGCAUGGGUGGGGGUUGGCACUGCGGUUGCCAAUCUAGUGUCCAACCAGAAGGACAGGGGGAUGGAGUGGAAGGAGGGGAGAGGGUUGAGGCCUGGGAGGGCAGAAGAGGGUGCAUGAGUUGCUUCAUGCUGCCUGCUUACACGCAUUGGCACUGCAGCUGCCACCCUUGUGCCCGCGGAGAUGGGAGGAAGCGAAUGGGGAGGGGGACAGCCGCAGGAGUCCUGGUGGUCUGAGAGGGAGACUCGGUACCUGGGAGCCAUUGGCAUCACACCCGUCAGGCUGGUGCCCCGAGCUGGGGCAGUGGGAACAGGGGCCCCAGGAGGCAGAGAGGAGGGGCAGAGAUGUGUUAAUGAUGUUUCUGUCUCUCUGGAGCUCAGCUCUGAGAAACAGUUGGACUAUGAGGUACUUAGCCUUCUUCUAGUCUGGGAAAGUGAAGUGGUGGAAAGAGUAGCCAGGGAAGUGCCAAGAAAGUGUCUAAGAGCAGGAGAAGGGAUCGUGCCACUGCUUCCUGGGGGAGCUCCUCAGGGCUGGCCUUUGUGAAAAGCACGGGGAUGUGGGCGUGAAGCAAUGGGUGCUGGCACUGCCCAUGGAGCCUGGCAGAGGCUCUGGCAUUGUGUGGAAUGGAGGAGGGUAGAAGUGCCUCUUGCCAAUCUGGUUGAGAAGAUUGCUGUGUGCCAGGAAUGAGAAGGGAGGUGAGAUGGUGUGUGUGUGUGUGUGUGUGUGUGUGUGUGUGUGUGUGUGUGUGUGAGAGAGAGAGAGAGAGAGAGAGAGAGAGAGAGAGAGAGAGAGUUGUUUGGGAGAACAGACUUGUUUUCUGCCAGGACCUCCUUCCUGUUCCCUCUUAGGCAUGGGGAGCGGAGCGACAGACGGAGAGAGGCUUGAGGACACAAAGGAGGAAGCGUGCCAUUGCCAAGACCCCAAGGAAGAAGGACAGAGAGCGCUGGCAGUCCUGUCUGGCCCCCAGCCAGUUUCCUGCUGAAGAUGGCCAAAUCCUCUUGCCUGGUCUGUGUAUGUCACCGUGCGAGCAUGGUGGGAGCAGGGGGGUGGCUUGCUUGCUGAGCUGGGAUCUAGAAUGGGAAGGGCACCUUUCUGUGGAUCUCGUUUGGACUUUCCACUCUAACAAGUGAGGUAUCUGAUUUUCU
rnacentral:lncRNA from 1 species